rnacentral:rRNA from 1 species
UAACUGGAGAGUUUGAUCCUGGCUCAGAACGAACGUUAGCGGCGCGCCUAACACAUGCAAGUCGUGCGAGAAAGGGCUUCGGCCCCGGUAAAGCGGCGCACGGGUGAGUAGCACGUAGGUAACCUACCCUCUGGUGGUGGAUAACCUUCCGAAAGGAGGGCUAAUACAGCAUAAGACCACGGCCUCGCAAGAGGCAGGGGUAAAAGCGGGCCUCUGCAUGCAAGCUCGCACCAGGGGAUGGGCCUGCGGCCCAUCAGCUAGUUGGUGAGGUAAUGGCUCACCAAGGCAAAGACGGGUAGCUGGUCUG